rnacentral:rRNA from 1 species
GAGUUUGAUCAUGGCUCAGAACAAACGCUGGCGGCGUGCCUAACACAUGCAAGUCGUACGAGAAAGGGUCUUUCGGGAUCUGAGUAAAGUGGCGCACGGGUGAGUAACGCGUGGAUAAUCUGCCCUUCAGUUGGGAAUAACCCAUCGAAAGGUGGGCUAAUACCGAAUAAUACUGUGAGACCUCGGUCGAUCAGUCAAAGAGAGCCUCUGCUUGCAUGCCCUUGCUGAAGGAUGAGUCCGCGUACCAUUAGCUAGUUGGUAGGGUAAUGGCCUACCAAGGCGACGAUGGUUAGCUGGUCUGAGAGGAUGAUCAGCCACACUGGAACUGAGACACGGUCCAGACUCCUACGGGAGGCAGCAGUGAGGAAUCUUGCGCAAUGGGGGAAACCCUGACGCAGCAACGCCGCGUGAGUGAGGAAGGUCUUCGGAUCGUAAAGCUCUGUCGGAUGGAAAGAACCACAUAGGGGUAAAUAGCUCCUAUGUCUGACGGUACCAUCAAAGGAAGCACCGGCUAACUCCGUGCCAGCAGCCGCGGUAAUACGGGGGGUGCAAGCGUUGUUCGGAAUUAUUGGGCGUAAAGAGCGUGUAGGCGGCCUGAUGUGUCAGAUGUGAAAGCCCUGGGCUUAACCCAGGAAGUACAUUUGAAACUGUCAGGCUUGAGUAGGGG